ensembl:snRNA U6 U6 spliceosomal RNA
GUGCUUGCUCAGACCAGACAGCACAUCUACUAAAAUCGGAACAAUACAGAGAAGGUUAGCAUGACUCCUGUGUACAGAUGAUAUAAAAAUUUGUAAAGCAUUCCACCUUCUU